CCUACGGGAGGCAGCAGUGGGGAAUUUUGGACAAUGGGCGCAAGCCUGAUCCAGCAAUGCCGCGUGCAGGAUGAAGGCCUUCGGGUUGUAAACUGCUUUUGUGAACAAUGCGGUACCGUAAGAAUAAGCACCGGCUAACUACGUGCCAGCAGCCGCGGUAAUACGUAGGGUGCGAGCGUUAAUCGGAAUUACUGGGCGUAAAGCGUGCGCAGGCGGUUAUGUAAGACAGAUGUGAAAUCCCCGGGCUCAACCUGGGACCUGCAUUUGUGACUGCAUAGCUAGAGUACGGUAGAGGGGGAUGGAAUUCCGCGUGUAGCAGUGAAAUGCGUAGAUAUGCGGAGGAACACCGAUGGCGAAGGCAAUCCCCUGGCCGUACUGACGCUCAUGCACGAAAGCGGGGGAGCAAACAGGAUUAGAUACCUUGUAGUC
rnacentral:rRNA from 1 species